GUAGGUGGCAAGCGUUGUCCGGAAUUAUUGGGCGUAAAGCGCGCGCAGGCGGUUCUUUAAGUCUGAUGUGAAAGCCCACGGCUCAACCGUGGAGGGUCAUUGGAAACUGGAGAACUUGAGUACAGAAGAGGAAAGCGGAAUUCCACGUGUAGCGGUGAAAUGCGUAGAGAUGUGGAGGAACACCAGUGGCGAAGGCGGCUUUCUGGUCUGUAACUGACGCUGAGGCGCGAAAGCGUGGGGGAGCAAACAGGAUUAGAUACCCUGGUAGUCCACGCCGUGAACGAUGAGUGCUAAGUGUUAGGGGGUUUCCGCCCCCCCCUUAGUGCUGCAGCUAACGCAUUAAGCACUCCGCCUGGGGAGUACGGCCGCAAGGCUG
rnacentral:rRNA from 1 species